UCACCCGGCUAUCUCUCUCUCUCUCUCUCAGCCUAUCUUCUUUCUGCCCUGGAUACCUCACCAAAUCGACGGCGAUGACGUCGGUGUCGGCAUCGGCAUGAUCGCUCGCUCGCUCUCUCUGUCGACCUCACCCUCUCUGUCGACCUCAUCUCCUCUCUCUCUCGACCUAAUUUGUCAUUCGUUUUGGAUGAAUCUGGUUUGGUUGCUUUUCUCUGUUUUGGAACAAAUCUGAUAAGAAGUUUUGAUUUCGUUUGGUUGCAGGUAUCUUUUGGGUCAUCUACUCCAAGAAUAAGCCUUUUUAGAAUUUAUGGCUCAAGAAGAUGGAGAUCCAUCUCGGUUAAAGCCAUCACUUUUGGUUAUCAAUCGGCCCACAAAGACCAUGAAGAAGACAGUGGAUGAGAACUAGUUUGGCGCUUUGUCGAAUUGGAACGAGGAUGAUGGAGAAGCUAUUGGAGCUGCAAAACAUCUCUUAACUAAUACAAGUGAAUAGGUUUGGUGCUGUGCCUGUAUUUUUUUUUGUCAUGGGUUGUAAUUUUUUAUUGUUAGUAA